rnacentral:snRNA from 1 species
GUGCUCGCUUCGGCAGCACAUAUACUAAAAAAUUGGAACGAUACAGAGAAGAUUAGCAUGGCCCCUACGCAAGGAUGACACGCAAAUUUGUGAAGCAUUCCAUUAAAAA